rnacentral:lncRNA from 10 species
UAAAAGGCCUUUGGAAAUUCCUGGAGCCCAUCUGGUCCUAGUUACCCCACAAUAUUGCUGCCUCUUCAGCUCACAGACAAGGGAACAGUUUUAUUUCUCCUUUUGGAGCUCAGGAAUGUGCCUUAAACACGAGCCGGCAGACGCCCACUUGGUGCACGAGUUCCUUGGUCACGUGUCACACUCAUCGUCCUUUAAAAAAGGACUGCUGCUCUUUCCCCUUGGCUCCCCAAUCCCAAAGGGUCCCUCCCAACCCCAUUACCUAGAGAGUGAUGUGGGGAGGGCAGAUGCUUCGGGGGUGGGCCCGCCUGACUGCGAUGUGCCCGGCCUCUGCGUUUUCUCUCCUGUGUCCUGGGGAUGGGAACUCCUGAGAAUGGAAUGCAGCCUGGUGUGUGGUAGGUGUUUGGUACAUGCAGGUUUCCCAGCUGGCUCUGUGAACUUAAGUAGGUCCCUUGACCCAUCCAAGCCCCAGUAGCCUGCUCUGUAAAACCGGGCUGGAAAGUGUGGUACAGGAGUUUAGGAAGGUCUCAGCCACACCAGGGGAUGUGGAUGAUUGGUCCUUACUCACCCGGCGCUUCUGCCCACCCAUGGCUGCCUCCAGAGGGUGUGAACACAUCCAGGGCUGCACAUCUGAAGCCUCUCUUGCGGGCAGAAGAGAUGUCUUCAGGUCCAGCUGCUCCCAUGCUUUUUGCGGGGCCGGAGUGUGUUUCUUCCCUGGAGUUCUUGUCCCUUUGGGUUUUUCGGGUUCCUCUGGCCGCAGUGCCCAGAGGCUGGGUGUGGCCGCUCCAGGCUGGCUGAGUCUUGGCAGCUGCCCUACAUGGUUGCCUGGGGCCAGGUGACAUCCUUCUUGCUUCCUUGAAGAGCUCCCUCUCCCCAGUCCCAGGCUGGAACAGUCACAGUGCCCUGCCCACCUAGGCUAUGAUUCCAGGGGCUGGGCAGGCCUGCACCUCCAUCCCCUGCAUGGCUAGACGUGGCAUGUACUUGUUUUAUGAACCAUGAGCUCAGUGGCUUGUGUGCCCUCCAAGUGGAAGCUUUAAGAGCCAGUGUGCGAUUCUCCACAACCCCUUUGCCACAGCGAUGGAGGGAGCACAUUUCAACGAUAAAUAAACCUUGAUUGUUU